rnacentral:rRNA from 1 species
AUACGUAGGUGGCAAGCGUUGUCCGGAAUUAUUGGGCGUAAAGCGCGCGCAGGCGGUCCUUUAAGUCUGAUGUGAAAGCCCACGGCUCAACCGUGGAGGGUCAUUGGAAACUGGGGGACUUGAGGGCAGAAGAGGAAAGUGGAAUUCCAAGUGUAGCGGUGAAAUGCGUAGAGAUUUGGAGGAACACCAGGGGCGAAGGCGACUUUCUGGUCUGUAACUGACGCUGAGGCGCGAAAGCGUGGGGAGCAAACAGGAUUAGAUACCCUGGUAGUCCACGCCGUAAACGAUGAGUGCUAAGUGUUAGGGGGUUUCCGCCCCUUAGUGCUGCAGCUAACGCAUUAAGCACUCCGCCUGGGGAGUACGGUCGCAAGACUGAAACUCAAAUGAAUGGACGGGG